rfam:Mustela putorius furo unplaced genomic scaffold scaffold00026, whole genome shotgun sequence.
AGCUUUGCGCAGUGGCAGUAUCGUGGCCAAUGAGGUUUAUCCGAGGCGCGAUUAUUGCUAAUUAAAAAGCAAAUGCCA